AAUCGACGCUGGCGGCGUGCCUAACACAUGCAAGUCGAACGAGAAAGUGGAGCAAUCCAUGAGUAAAGUGGCGCACGGGUGAGUAACACGUGACUAACCUACCCAGGAGUGGGGGAUAACUGAGGGAAACCUUAGCUAAUACCGCAUAACACCUACGGGUCAAAGGAGCAAUUCGCUUCUGGAGGGGGUCGCGGCCGAUUAGUUAGUUGGCAGGGUAAUGGCCUACCAAGACGAUGAUCGGUAUCCGGCCUGAGAGGGCGCACGGACACACUGGAACUGAAACACGGUCCAGACUCCUACGGGAGGCAGCAGUGGGGAAUUUUGCGCAAUGGGGGAAACCCUGACGCAGCAACGCCGCGUGGAGGAUGAAGUCCUUCGGGACGUAAACUCCUUUCGAUCGGG
rnacentral:rRNA from 1 species